CCCCUCUCAGGGUCGUACCUGGGGAGUCUCCAGUACUCUACCAGUCUCGGCUACGGGAGAGAGAGCCAAGCAGAGGGCUACCCAUUCCACUCCUAGCUUGGGCACUGGCUAGCGAGUGGAAGGCCAUCAGCUACAAGU
rfam:Ornithorhynchus anatinus chromosome 18, whole genome shotgun sequence.